rnacentral:rRNA from 1 species
UGGGGAAUAUUGGACAAUGGGCGAAAGCCUGAUCCAGUCAUGCCGCGUGUGUGAAGAAGGUCUUCGGAUUGUAAAGCACUUUAAGUUGGGAGGAAGAGCAGUAAGUUAAUACCUUGCUGUUUUGACGUUACCAACAGAAUAAGCACCGGCUAACUUCGUGCCAGCAGCCGCGGUAAUACGAAGGGUGCAAGCGUUAAUCGGAAUUACUGGGCGUAAAGCGCGCGUAGGUGGUUUGGUAAGAUGGAUGUGAAAUCCCCGGGCUCAACCUGGGAACUGCAUCCAUAACUGCCUGACUAGAGUACGGUAGAGGGUGGUGGAAUUUCCUGUGUAGCGGUGAAAUGCGUAGAUAUAGGAAGGAACACCAGUGGCGAAGGCGACCACCUGGACUGAUACUGACACUGAGGUGCGAAAGCGUGGGGAGCAAACA